rnacentral:lncRNA from 12 species
AUAUACACAACAAAAAUAGCUUAAGCUAAGAGUUUGCAGACUGUAGUGCAUGAGUGAGGAAUGGGAAUACUCAUUAAGCUUUGUGCCUGGAUAGAAAUCUUUGUUUAUGGGCAGAUUACUCAACCUCUAAGCCAUUGUUUUCCAUUUGUAAAAUUGGUGAAAGGCUUUAUAGUUGUAAACACUUAAAAACAUACUUGCAUGUGGUAAAGAUUCAUAAAUAUUAGUCAACACCAUUAGAAAUGAACUGUGACAUGAAGCGGGUUAACACAUAUGAUAUGAUUAGAACAGUUGGACACACAGUCAAUGUUUGUGUUAUCUUUGUAUCAUUUGUGCUGGACUUUUUUAGCAGAUGGAAUGUCCAUGCCCUUUGAACUGCCUCCAGCAUUCUGAAGAAAUGGACAUUGCUUGAAAAUGAAGAUUCUUGUACUCUUAACGUGAUCCUGAAGAUGGUGGUUGGAGGAGAAGAUUGCACAGUGAGCAAGCUUCAAUACUUCUAUUGGAUUUCAGAGCUGGAUGUUGUUCCUAACUCAAGAGUCUUGCUCUAUAUCUUAAGAUUCAUCAGGAAAGUCUUUGUUAACUGCCAGAUGAUUUAAUAAUGACCUUGAAGUCUUAACAACUUUGACCUUGAAGUCUUGUCAGAAUGUCUCUACUGCCUCCUCCCCUCCAGCCAAUGAAAUCUGAAUAAGCCAUAGACCUAAACUUGGCAUGGCAGUUCUAACUCUGUGUUCCCUGCAUUAUCACAUUAUUCUUAACAUUAAAGUUAAGCGAAUCUUAAAUCAAAGUGAAUUUAAGUGGUUUUCUUGGAACCCGUUAGAGAGUCCAAGGGGACAGUGGCAGAAAAGCUCUAAUUCCAACAUGGACACUUAUUCCAUUCCUGAAUGACUUCUUGUCAACAUGACUUCUGAUAAUACUGAUAUUCUGCUCUUUAAACCGGAAGUAGGACAAUAAACAAUAUCAGUGACCACUCA